UAGACUCCCAUAGGCCAUAGAGCAUCGGAGGCUGGGAUCUCUCUUCAAGAACUUGCCCCAGCGUCAUUCCUUGACCGAUAUUUUGAUUAUCUUUUAGUCUUUAAUUCCCAAUUUCCAACAAUAUUUGAUUAAUAAAUACUUGCUUUUGUAUACCCUUUAUAUAGUUGACUAUUGUUUUAAGUAUGCAAUAGUAAAAAUUCAAGAAUCAUUCAAUCCUUCACAUCAUCACCAAUUUUGAUUACCUGGGUUCUGCUCAGUCAGCCAAUCAGGUGAAAUUCAAAGGACUCGUGUCAAAUUCGUUCCUUGUAUCUUUAUUCUUGUAUUGAAGUCCUGGACUGGAGAUGAGAGCAAUUCUUAGGUCCAUUAGACAAUUUAGAUCAGCUUUGCGAUAUAGAGGAGAUAUAUUCUAUAAUGGGCUCUCAAAAAGACAGCAUUGUCGGGUUAAUAAGAAUGGAGGGUCAGUCUACUAUACGCCUAGUGUACAGAUUUUUGGAGAUGCCAGCAUCCUUCUUACAUGAUCUCGAGAGCUUUGCAUACUGAUGCCGUUAAUGUAGCUAAUGGAGAAUUAAUUCAAGGAGGUCCUCUUGUAGAAUAUGAACGAAGAAUAGCUGCUGGUGAACUUGUGGAUGGAGAUAUUUGCCAGGUUUUAGGCACCCUGAGACAACUGCAGAGACUCUAUGAUGAGCUGGUCGAGAAAGCUGAUGCUUGCCGACUUGAUCGAUAUACAGCUUCGGAGAAAGCAGGAAGGAGUCGGUGGUUGUGGUCACGUUUCAUACCACAGUCUUCAUAUGCUCCUGUGAAAGGACUCUAUCUUUGUGGAGGAGUUGGUACUGGGAAAACUAUGUUGAUGGACAUGUUUUUUGAUCAGUUGCCUUGCAAUUGGAGGAAGAAAAGAAUUCAUUUUCAUGACUUUAUGCUGAAUGUCCACAGCCGCUUGCAAAAGCACAACGGUGUUGCUGAUCCCCUAGAAGUUGUUGCUGGAGAAGUAUCAGAUGAAUCAAUCUUGUUAUGUCUUGAUGAAUUCAUGGUUACUGAUGUUGCUGAUGCAUUGAUACUAAAUCGUUUAUUUAGGCACUUAUUUAGCCAUGGAGCUAUCCUUGUUGCUACAUCAAACCGUGCUCCUGAUAAUCUUUAUGAGCGUGGACUUCAAAGGGAUCUCUUUCUUCCUUUUAUAGCUUUACUGAAGGAAAGAUGUAUUGUUCAUGAAAUUGGGUCAUCAGUAGACUACCGUAAGAUGACUUCGGUAACGUAUCAUAUUCAUCUGAUUUACUCUAUGAGAAGUUAUUUUUGCUUAUGUGUAGUUAUGGUUUCCGAUUGCAUAAAAUCUAGUAGUACCACUAUUUCACAAAAACAAAGAAUUAGCUGUGUGACUAGAGACUUUUCUCUUGCAAUGCAGGCACAGCAGGGUUUCUACUUUGUUGGGAAAGACCUGUCAAGCCUUCUAAAUGAAAAGUUUCACCAGUUGAUCGGCAACCACAAAGCUGUACCACAAGAGGUGGAAGUAGUUAUGGGAAGGACAUUGCAGGUUCCGCUGGGUGCUAAUGGCUGUGCCUAUUUCCCGUUCGAGGAACUCUGUGACAGACCACUUGGGGCUGCAGAUUAUUUUGGAUUAUUUAAGAAAUUUCACACACUGGCUUUGGAAGGUGUGCCAACUUUGGGUCUCCACAACAGGACUGCUGCAUAUCGGUUUGUCACUUUAGUUGAUGUUAGUCCUUUUCCUUGAAAUAUCUGUUUCAGUUCAGAAUGUUUCUGAAAGGGAAGGAGCUUUGGGGUCACAUUGAUGGGUCUUCUACUGCUUCUGGAACUGAGAAAGAAAUAAGUCAAUGGGAAUCAAAUGAUUCACGAAUUAUUUCAUGGAUUUUAGCAUCCAUUGAACCUCAUAUGGUGAACAGCUUACGUUCAUUUAAUACUGCAAAGGAGAUAUGGAAUUUUCUGAAACGCAUAUAUCAUCAACACAACACUGCAAGACGAUUUCAGCUUGAACUUGAUAUCAGUAAGUUCAGUCAAGGAGGCCUUAGCAAGCUUUCAAAAAGUUCAUCAAGUUAGCAUGCGUGAUCAGUUUUUGAUGAAACUGAGGCCAGAAUUUGAGACUGCUCGGGGUGGAUUGCUGAAUCGAAAUCCAGUUCCUUCUUUGGAUGUGUGUGUUGGUGAAUUGUUACGGGAAGAACAAAGAUUGGCUACACAGUCAAUUCUAAGUGCAGCUGGUGGGACAUCAGAGGUUGUCAAUGUUGCUUAUGCUGCACAAGGAAGGAAUAGAGGAAAGGGACAAAUGCAGUGCUACAGCUGCAAGGAGUUUGGCCAUAUUGCUCGCAAUUGUGGUAAGAAAUUCUGCAGUUACUGUAAGCAAAGUGGACAUAUUCUCAAGGAAUGUCCUACACGUCCGGAAAACAGGCGAGCCCAAGCUUUUCAAGCUACUGUUCCAGAUGCUCCUGUUAUUGGUCCUACAUCUACCACCAGCCAGACUGUUCUGACCCCAGAAAUGGUCCAGCAGAUGAUUCUUACUGCAUUUUCUGCCCUUGGACUUCAAGGUCAAGGACCAGAUGUCGGGGAAGGUAAUCGCGAAGGGGCCUAGAGUGGGAAGAUUAUUUCCAUUGCAAUUUACUAUUCCUAGAACUUUAUCUUUAGCCUCUAUGAUUGUUGACAAUAAGGCUGAAAUUUGGCAUAGACGAUUAGGUCAUCCAAAUAAUGUCAUUUUAUCUGAUUUAAUAAAGCGUGGUUUUCUUGGUGCUAAA